rnacentral:tRNA from 1 species
AUUUAAAUAGCUUAAUAAGAGUAUAACACUGAAGAUGUUAUGGUGAUUAAUAAAAUCUUUAAAUG